GGGCGAGUGAUGAAAUGGUAUACAUGGUAGACUCAAAAUCUGCUGGCCGCAAGGCCGUGAGGGUUCAAGUCCCUCCUCGCCCACCA
rnacentral:tRNA from 1 species